UCUUCCUAAUUUCCAGUUACUUAUCAUUUGAAAUCUCACAGGGAAAACAGCACUGUGUAGAAAGAACAACCAAUUAAAGUUCAGGGUUGGACUGGCACAACAAAGAUAUCUCUGAUAUCCCCCACUGGGUUUGGAAUCUGGAUGAUUUUUAGAGAGAAUACCAAGAAGGUGAAAGAGAACAAACAGGAAUGAAGCACUGGGAAAUACUGGAUCAGACGUAGAACUAAGGGAGGAGCUGGGGAAAAGAGCAUCACAGAAAUGACUGUGUGGAGCCCAUAAAGGUGCAGCUGAGUGCCAGGUGAGGUGAUGGAAAAGCAGAGUGGGAAUGGAGGAAGGAAUAGGAAGUUUUGGCACAUGUGAGAUAAGACUCCGUGGGAUGGGCAGGACAGGAAAUGAAUAGAAGAUAAUGUGGUAGCUUCUGUUGCUGUAUAGAGUUCAGCAUCAUUUCUGGCAGCAAGCUGGAAAGCAUUUAAAUGCUGAGCUUUCAACUAAAAAUUCUCAUUAAGUUGAGGCCCAGUAACCCUGUCUGAAAGGUUAAAGCAAAAACACCAAACAAGGCAGAAUUUUGCCCACUGUUUUUUAUGUAAGUACAGAUAAUUGAACUGAACUUGGAGGAAAUACUAACUUGAACCUUUUUAUUUUCUUUCCUUGAACAGGAAUUCAGCAUGAACUGUUUGCUAGUUUGAAGUUUUAUUAAUUUGGAGCAACUUUAGUCACUGCUGAACCCAAAUGAGAAUCAAAUUAAAUAGCUGAAACACUUGACUGUCUAAGUAGAUGUAAAAAUUCAUGAUCAGUUUGUUGCAAUACUAUUUUCUGCAUUUUUAGUUUUGAUCCCACUUUUCAUUUAUCCUGCCCAGAUUCUUUCCAGGCUCCUGCUUUGACUCAGGGGGUGCUAUGGCUUGUAGGGGACGUUCUGGUGGGAUGAGGUGGAGAGAAUUCAUGUUGGGGUUUAGACUGUGUGAGUAGCAUUGCUCAGAGUCCUCUUUCUUUGACAUUGCUCAAUUACUGCUUUCAUCCUCAGAAUGAGCUUCAGGAAGGAUGCAGAAGAAUGACUUACCUGCCUGCCAGACACUAGAGAGAAUAUUUCUCCACGUUGUGCUGUGCUGUGGAGUCAGCUGUCCUCACUUCCUAAUUUUUAGAUGAGCACUGCUGUGACAAGCCACUUGGAAAAAGCAGCUUGGAUCCUUCCUUCAGCUCACUGAUGUCUCCCUGUGUCUAAUAUACCACCCCCUCGUGGUCUCCAGAGACUGAAGCCCCCUUCACCAGAUGAGAGCUGUGCUGCUUUUUGCUCAGGGCAGCAGCUGUCUCAGCAUGGGGAGCAGCUGCUUGCUCUGAGACAUGACCCCAAAUUUCGGUCCUGUGAUCCCUGUCCUGCAAGAGUUGAGCCAGCUGAAAGCAGUUUCCAGUGCCACACUUGCAGUAGCCAUUUGCAAUGGUAGAAUGAGUCUCUUUAUUAAAGAUCUGCUGUCCAAACCAGCAUGCUGUGUUAUGCCAACCCUGUGCCUUGUCAGCGUGGCAGACAGAAUACAGGGCUUUUGUGUUCCACCCGCCCCCUCAUCUCUCAGGUUUUAUUCCACUUCUCUGAACAGUGGACACAUUCCUGCCAGUCUCAGUGUUUUAAUUUAAUUUGGGCACAGGCUAUAUAAAACUGAACAGAUGUCUGAAAGCAGUGAAGAGAAGACCAUAAAAUGAACCUCAUAAUCAGCUUCAUUUGAACCAAGCAAUAUUUUAUUUUUUUUUGUCUCUGUUGCCACAAAGUUCACACAUGACUUGGGUGUGACAAGAGGAUGCAACAUGGAGAGAGGAGGUAUUGUUCGCAGAGAUCUAAAACUGGAAAACAUUUCAGUUAAAAGCAGUGACAUCAAUGAAGUAAAUGCAGUGAAAUUAAACAUAAAGCCCAUGAAGUUAUCAGUGCCUGUGACUACAGCCAACAGUGUGACAUUUGGAGCACAGGUGUCAUUAUGUACAUGCUAAAGAGCUAAAAUUCCUUUCCCAAAAGCACUGCAAAGUAUUCUUAGAAACGGUUCCUGAGGAAGUAGAGAUGGUGAAGGCUCUUUUAAGUAGGAAGUCAUAUCAAAAUAGAAAAAAAACCCUAGAAGAACCGAGAUAUUAACUGUAUGUAUGUGAACCCUUGGAGAGAUUUAAUUUACAGUAAGCUAAGGAAGAGCUCUUUGACAUCAUAUAGAAUUGAAAAGAUCAGAACAGUCAAGCCUGUUGAGGAGGAAAAAGGUGUGUUCUACAAAAUGCAGUGAGUCUAAGCCACAGAUUUCUGUAUUUUUCUGACAGAAUUCAGUAAAAUUUUCACUUUAAGCAGAAAGUUGUCCCUUCUUUUCUCUUUGUUGUGCACCCACUCAGUAGCAAAGUCAA